rnacentral:lncRNA from 1 species
GGAGAUCCAUUGAGGGAAAACUUGCUUGAGCAGAUUCAAUUUAGGACACGACUGGCGGCCGAACUGCAGCAGAAUUCACAUAAUCCAAGGCACCUCGAUCUAACACUGGAGCAGAUAAUUCGAGCUAAGAUUGGCCAGAAUAAUCUUCAAGAACCCCAGACUGAUAUCUUGGACCUCUUAUCACAGGUGAAGCAUGGUAAUAUACUCCCUUCAGACCUGCAGUUCCAUCUUCAGCAAGAACAGAUGCAGGCGCAAGAGUUAUCUUUGGCAAGGCAGCAGUUAGGAAUGGAUGGUGAAAGCCAAGUUGGUUGGCCAUGGUCCAUCGAUGAAGCUGGUCAGACCUUCAGAAAUACUACUGGUCAUCACCAGUCUAAGUCUACAGGAUUUAACGCUUCAGAUUUUUACCUGCAACAGCAGAGGCUUUCCUCACAUGAUGAACAUUUUAGCCAUAACAAAUGGAAUCAUGCUUUACAGGAGCCACAUCAGGGUGGGUUUUAUGAGCCUAGCUCUAUGGCAUUUGACCAUCCAACUUCUCUGCCUGCUGUCACUCCUGGGAUGAGGAUGGAUAAUGUUAAUGGUCAUUCCCAAGGUCCAGAUUCAGCAGAGCCUCUAUAUAUGCAUUCUACUGAUCAACUGGGUUCCUUCUCGUCCAAUGUCUCUUCUCGUCAUCGACAAGUUUUUGGUGAUAUUUAUGGUUCUCGUGCUGAAAUGACAGAGAGCCACCUCCCUGGAAAACAAGGGCAGCAAGAGAAUAGUUGGGUUGAAGGAGGGAUGCAACAAUUGCAUCUUGAAGCUGAAAGAAAAAGGAAUGUUUCAGAAGUUGCUGGAAACUCUAGUUUUUGGACCUCAGCUCGCGGAGAUGAGGAGAGCUCAAAGCAAGUUUUAAUGGAUCUUCACCAAAAUAUGGGUCUUCAGUCUAUUCGAUCAUCGGAAGACGAUUAUCGGCACCUUAUAUCUUCCUCUAAAUCUCAGGACUCCUUUUGGCCUAUCACUGAGUCAUUCUCUUUAAAUGAUAUUCCAGAUCAAGAAGCCACCAUGAAUGACUCAUUUAUUGAAAAGCCUGAAAAUUCGAAAUCAAAUUCUCUGCUGCAGGAUAACCAUGCUAUGUCCUUGAGUGGUCAAUUACACCAUCAAGGAAAUGGUGAAAGAUUGUCCCUAAGGUCAAAAUCUGGAGCACUAACUGAAGAACCAACAUUCUUUUCAGGCAUAGUAGAUACUUCUCAUUCUAAUCAUGCGGAUAACAUGUUUGUUGAUAAAUCUGCCAUGGAUAAAGAAGUGGUAGAAUUGGAUACCAGAUAUGGGUCCAAAGGCAUGAAUGCCAUGGCCAGGUCUGUUUCGCACAUUGAAGAGAGCUUUGUUGAACAAGCUGAAACUGCUAUGGAUUUUGCUAAUGCCAGUAGCAGGCAGAGUAGCAGGCAUAGUUCCCUGAGCAGUGCUGGUAUUUUCUCUGACAUACAUCUUUUCAGAUAUCAUGCUUAUGCUUAGAUGGAUAUUAGAGGCUUUGUGAAAUUCUGCAGGUGGUAAUGGAGGCCUACACGGGUAUGAGAUGGGAUUAGAUAAAUUGACUGGUGAAGAGGUCUCUAUUGACAGGUAAUGACUAUCCUUUGUUGUUGUCGGAUUGUUUUUAAUGAAGUCAUCAUGGUCUCCUUAAUCAUGAUGUUAAAUCUUCAUCUGAAUAUCGUAUUUUACAACAUUUGGUUUCAGAGCACUUGCAUGGUUACUCUUUGAUAGGUUAGGUGCUCUAAUGAUUUCUCUUCAUUAAAAACCUUAAAACAAGAUGCAAGUAUGUGGGAGAACACUCGCACCUUAGCUGCCUUGUAUUUUAUAGGUCUCCUAGUGCAUGUACAUUAACAUGAUGUCAUGUCAUCUUGUGUCGUAGUAGCUGCUGUAUCAUGGACUUAUUUCUAGAAACUUAACGGGCAGGAAAAAGGUAAAAGCAAACAGAGGAAACCACAAAUCAUUGAAGUUUCAAAUUUUGAAACCUUCACUGGACUGCAAAUGGGCCAAAUCAUAGGGUAUAUUUAGCAUUCCCACCACCCCUUUUCUUUUCAAGUUGGUUCACAGUAGAGCGUGAGUUGGUGCGGAUAUUUUUUCCACCCCAAAAUACUUGCUUAAUUUCUUUCUUCUAUUAUGAUAAAGUAAACUUUUAACAUCUCCAGGGGUGCAGUCAAACCCACAUUCUCUGUGCUUAUUUGUGGCAACAAUGACAUUAAAUCUGUUUUGAAUUUCACAAUUUUCAGAUUGUGCAUAUGAGCUUUGUGGUCAACUGUUCUAUGCAUGACUUGACUAUUAGCAACAUCUGUGUUUGCAUUGUAUUCAGCGUUAGUGGGUUUUCCCUAGUAAAUCUGUUUCUUUUGACAUCAAGCUAUUGGAAAGGUCUUGCUUCAUAAAUAUAGGAGUUGCGAGUUGCACUGUUUUGAUUUGAAACCUAUAUUGAUGUUCAUGAAAAAUGCUUGUGAACAGGAUGCCUUCUAUUUUAACUAGAGGGCUUGACAGUGCCUUGCAUAAACGCCCGCCGGUAUCACGGGCGUAUUCUUCCAAGGAUGCGUUGUCAGACAUGGCAUCUGCUUCGCAUAUCAAGCAAAAAAAUCGGGCAAGCCUUGCAACUUCUGAUGGUAUAUCAUUAUUGUUUCAGAUGUGCUGUCUUUUGUUUGUUGGUUUUGGAUAAUUGUGGUGGUGAUUUAAAAAAUCCAAAAACUUUGGUGGCUUGCAGAAAGGAGGAGUGAGCCUGUAGAGAAUGUAGCAGCAACCCGGGGUGGUGAUAGUCAGACAUCUGGCAAGAAAGAAGCGCGUUUUAGGAGGUCCUCAUCUUACAAUGAUGCUGGUAUAACAGAGACUUCAUUUAUGGAUGUGCUAAAAAAGCCAGUUUUUACUGAGGCUGAAGCCGCCAAUGCGGCUGCCUUGGAAUCAUCUGAUGGUCCACUGAGUGGGCGAAGCGGGAAAAAGAAAGGGAAGAAAGGAAGGCAAAUUGAUCCUGCUCUCCUUGGCUUCAAGGUUUCUAGCAAUCGCAUUAUGAUGGGUGAGAUACAACAUCCUUACGAGUAACUUACGAUGGGUGAGAUACAGCAUGUUGACGAGUAACUGAUACAAGCUGUGCAGUUAUUGUAAAGUUUUCUUCAUUUUUUUUGUAGAUCAGUAGAUUUUGUAUAGAUUACUGAAGUAGUUGGAGAUUCUUUGAUUUUUUUCUUCUUGUUUGUUUUUGGCUUGUUCAAGGUGGAGGAACAAGUUACAUCUUUUAGAGGUAGAGGAAGUAUAGGCUUCGAAGGAAAUAUUUUGUAGGCAUGAAACCCAUUAACAUAAACAAUUAUCAGAGACAAAUAGUCCACUUUUCUUUCUUUUCUUUAUUCUUUUUCUCUCUUUUAUUGUUUGUGUCCAAGAACAUGCAUUUUCAAUUUCAACUUCAUUUCAUUCAAAAUAAAAAACCUUGGGACUGUGAACAGGGCCUUAAUCGUGUUUCAUUAGUUGUACUUCACUCUAAUGAACAAGCUGUAAGAAAAUAAAAUAAGAGGACAAGCUCAUAUUACAAUUACAUUAAAAUUAUAAUUAAAUUACAUUACAAGUAGCUGUGAGGUUUUCAUUUAGCUCAACUCCUUUAUUUUUUUGUCAUCGUAUUUUUUUUCUUUACAAUUACUCAUUUGUAAUUAAAUUAAUGGUCAAAUUAUGAUAAUUUUUUAUACAAAUGCAAAACUUAAAAAUAGAGGACCAAAAUGUAAAGCAUAAAAGGAUAAUGUGGACAACCUAGAAUUCACACGAUAAAAAAUGCUUUAGUCCCCUUGUUUUACUAGUUCUUCCAUUACAGUUCCUUAAGUUUUUUAGAUAUUUUAUUUUGGUCCAAAACUUUAAUUUUUUUUUAAAAAAAUUCUUGGCUUGAAAGAGAGAAAUUCAUCAAAAAAUUGUGAAAAAAAUAUAUUUCUUGCUUAUUCUAAAUUAUUUCCUGUUAAAAUCAGUUUUGAUAAAAGUUCAAAUCCUUUUGCAUGCAUUUAUACUAAUGUUUGAGUUUCUUUUUCUACCCUUUCUGCUUCAAGUCAUAAAUAUUUUAUUCAUUCAUUGAUCAUUGCAAUAGAAUAAAUAAUUACAAUAUCAUGUUAUUCUUUAAAUUUACAAAAUGAUUGUCACAUAAUUUCAUACUCAAGUAACAAUGGUUCUGAGUUUAUGAAUAAGUAUCCUAAUGAUUUAUUCAAAGCUUAUGACUUUUUUUUUUUCACUAGUUAAUGUGUGGCUACAAACCAUUACAGAAUGUAAGAACUAGCAUCUCAUAAAGGUAGCUUGGGCAUAGGUUUACUAUUCAUGUUCCUAAAUGUUUUCGUGCUGAUAAUUUCAUGAUUGUCUUCUUUCUUAUUAAUAGGUUGUUUGCCCAUAUUAUUGAUUAUCAAACCCUUUUAAUGUGUUAUCAAGGUUCUAUUCUAUUACUUCUACUCUCAAUAUUUAUCAUGAGUGUUUUUUUUUGUUAUGUGUUAUGUCCAUGUUCACUCUCUCUGUAAGGAUAAACUUGAUCCUCAAGCAUUUCAAUGUGUUAUGCUAAUUUCUAAAAGGAUAUCAAUGUGUUUGCAACGCUUAGUAAAUAUCACGACAACUUUAAUUUUUUCAACUAUAAUAUAUGUGAGAAAUGAGAUAAUUUUUUUUACAUCAUGAUGGUAGUCUCAUGCUUACCUUCCAAUAAAUUUUGUCAACAACCGUGAUGAAUUAUAUGUACAAAAUAGUAAAGUUACAACACUUUAUUGAAUCUUUCUCUCUCUCUCUCUCUCUCUCACACACACAGAUAUAUAUAUAUAUAUAUAUAUCUCAGUAGCAAUUGAGAUCUUCGAGGGAAAGUACUUGAAAUACAUAGAAUUAUAGGGAUUAAAAUAAACAUUCAUAUUGUCGUACAUAUGUGGCGUCAUGAUGAUCAUCCUACCGAAGCGUGAUCUCUUCGGUGAUGGGGAAAGAGAUAAGAAAUUCUUAUUUCUUAUUCGUAAAAAAAAAAAGUAUGGAGUCGCCACCUAGUAUUUUGGUCACUAGGAACCCUAAUUGGUUUUAGAGUCUGGAUAAAGAGACUCAUUGUGUAUAGGAAAGACGUAUCAUCUCAAGUACACCUUACCUAAGGUAAACUGCAUUGUACCCCUCAACCUCUUAGAAUAUUCUCUAAUUAUAAGCUCACUUUUCUUGAGUCCCCCUCUGCCCCUUACAAAAUUUUCUAAAUAUGGGCAUAGACAUGGGCUCAUUCCCUCCGCCCCUUAAAAGUUUUUCUAAGUAUGGGUAUUAAUAGAGAUUCGUUCCCUUCAGCCUUUUAGAAUAUUUUCUAAGUAUAAGCCCACUCUCUUUAGGUUCCUCUUAAAAAAAUUUCUAAGUAUGAGUGUCACCAUAAGUUUCCCAUUUGCUUCUUAGAAAUUUUUCAAGUACGGAUGUCGCCAUGUGUCUGUCCCCUCCACCUCUUAGAAAUUUUUCUAAGUAUAAACAUCGCUAUGAGUUCCAUUCAGCCACUUAGAAUUUUUUUAAGUAUAAGGCUCACCCUUCUUGGGUUCACCUCUGCCUUUUAAAAAACUUUCUAAAUAUAGGUUAACCCUCUCUGGGUUUUUUUUUGCCCAUUAGAAUUUUUUCUAAGCAUGAGUGUCGACAUGGAUCCAUCCUCUCCGCCCCUUAGAAAUGUUUCUAAGUAUAAACAUAGACAUGGAUCCAUCCCUUCCACUCCAUAGAAAUCUUUUUAAGAAUAAGUGUCACCAUAGGUUCCCCCCAACCAUUUAGAAGUUUUCUAAGUAUAAGGCUCACCCUCCUUGAGUUCUCCGCCUCUUAAAAGAUUUUUAAGUAUACGUUGACCCUUUUUGGGGUUUUCUCUACCCUUUGAAAUUUUUUCUAAGUAUAGGUGUUAGCAUAGGUCCAUCCCCACCGCCCCUUAGAAGUUUUUCUAAGUAUGGAUCCUCCUCCAUGAUCCACCUAUUAAAAAAAUUUAGUCAAUAUGAGUUCCUUCAUGGUUCCCCUCUAUAUGAUUAUAAUUGUUUUUUUCAACCAUGGUGUAUGCCCCUACACAUGGGGUCUCUGGUAUAUUACUAGGGGUUUCCACCCCUCUUCUCAUAAAAAGAAACUCAAUAAACUCGUUAUAUAAGGUAUUUUUACAAAGUCUGUGUAUAAAAUAUCAUAAAAACUUGGGGGCUACUGAUAAACUCAAAUUUAACAAGCUUGAAAAGCUCCCCAAGGGCCUAAAAAUCCUUAGUCUCAUGCAACAUGCCUGGGCUCAGCUGCAAUGGCCUCAACCUUAAGGAAGAACCCAAUGUCAUGGGCUCAACUUAGGGGAAGGCCUAACCCUCAUGGGCUCAACCUAGGGGAAGAGCCUAGACUCACGAGCUCAACUACAUUUUAGAUAUUAUUCUCCCUACACCCUUAGGUGUAUAAAAGUCCUUUAAAAGCCUAUCAUAUUUUCAUCAACAUUAAUGUUGUGUAAGAGAUAGUGUAUAAAAGUCAUUUAAGAACCUAUCAUAUUUUCAUCAACAUUAAUGUUAUGUAAGAGAUAAUGUCUAGAAUUUUCCAAUGUCCUACCAUAUUUCUAUUUCAUUAAUACAUACGCAGGGAUAUUUUUCCUCAUUAAAACUAUUAGGGAAAAAUUACACUUUAGUCACUCCUCCACAUAAAAAGACAAGACUUAUAGGCUAUAGAUAUACUAUGAAUCUUUCAAGCUUCAUGUUCCCAAUCUCUAUUCUCUACUGCAUACAUAUUUUUAAAGCAUUUCUAUUUAAAAUAUGAUUGUCUUUUUUCUAAAACCAAUUCUUACUUAAGCAUCUGAGAGUCCCUAAAUGUACCAAAGAGGAUCUUUUGCAGGUACUAGCCUCCAACUAUCUUGGUUUACCAAGUACCAAACACCACCCACCUUGAUUAGAAAGAAUAAAUCAAAUUGCUAAAAUCAAGAGAUUAACUGAUUAUCCAACACAUAAGCUUUGCUUCUAAGUUACUUGGAUUUUUUAAGACAUCAUCAAAGGGGCUCACCCCUUAAUUAAAUACAACUCUAACUACAAUUAUAUUAACACAUAUCAAGAGAGCUUUCACUAAAUAUUUAUGGCUCUCUCUUCUCUAAAUAUUAUCCACGUAUUUUACCUAUAAAGUAUACCAAAUAUUGACUUACAUAUCAAAGUGGUGAACCCUCUAGCGCCAUUAACUUCUGAUGUUUGAGCUUAAUGUGUAUAGGACUCUAAAGACACCAACAGUAUUUCCCACCCCUUCAAAAAGAUUGAAUUAUUGAGACAUUCACAACAAUGGAUGAUAAAAUUAAAUAGUUAACAAAUAGUUAUUUGUUGGUCGUAAGUAUUGACUGUAGAUUACAAUACAAGAAAGUAAAGAAAAAGCCAAAUGAAGUCAUAAUUAUUAAUUCUUAAAAACAUAUUUCAUACGAAAGGUUAAAUUAGAGAGAUAUGUAUAUUAAAUGGAUAGACAUGAUUAUUGUUUAAAUAAACAUGAAAAUUAAUUUAUGUUUUAUAUUAUACCUCUAGUUAUUUUAAAAGUGAGGACAAAAGGUGAAAAUUAAGAAUAAUUCUUUUUGUGUUUGAGUCCAUCUAAAAGUUUUUUUUUUCUUCCAUUCUCUAUGAAAAUAUCAUUUUAUGAAGUUAUUGAAGAAGUUAUUAGUUUUCUAUGCAUUGAACUUCUAGUGGCUUUAUUAUAUCCUAGAAGUUUUUUUUUUCCAUUAACAUAAUAGAAAACUAUAUUGAUAGUAAAGACAACAAUCACUUUAAAGAUAAGACUCUUUCUUACUUGAAAGUCACACAGAUUUCAAGUUUUUCUGAUUAUAUUUCACCAACAUGAAUAUCAAGCCUAAUAAAAUCUAGAUGUCCAAAAUCUUGAGCAUCAUCAUGUUUUAAAUUCUAAGCUCCCCAAAGUUGAUGAAAAUAGUAAAAAUGUAUAAAAGAUGUGUUCUCUCUAAUAUUCAUUAUGAAUUAGUGUUUGAAAUUUUCCAUUUACAUUGUCUAUUAGUUUUUAAACUCUAUCUUUUUUCUAGUUUUGGAACAAUCUCUCUUUUUACCUUGUUGGUUUUUUAAACUCUUUUUCUACUAGUUUUUGGAUUGUUGUUUGUUUUUAGAAUACCCUCUCUUUUGUUGUUGGGUUUUUAAAUUCUCUGGUAGCUAGUUUUUAGAAAUUCUCACAAAAAAAAUAAAUAAGGUGCCUUACUACUAAACCUAAGUUCUUCUAAUCCAUGUUUAAUUAGUUUUAUGGGUUUUUUUUAUAUUUUUGUAUUUUGGUUUAUAUUAUAUAAUUUCUCUUAAUUCAGAUAUUUUCUUAUUCUUCUUUGAUCUAUAAAUACCAUUUAUAACUAUAUAUAAGCUCACAAAUGUUCAAGGUGAUAGUACAUGGGAUAUAUAUUAUUUAGGAUAAUAAAUAAGUGGCUUACGUUGUGCCACGAGCCGACCUAAAUUUUUCACAGCAUAAAAAAAUAAUGUUCAUAUGAUGGUAGCCUUUUCCAAUAAUCAAGAAAGAUUCGAGACAUGAGUCAUUAAUUAUACUGCAUUCAAUAAGUUUGGUUAAUAUAAUAAUAUUUCAAAAAAUAAGGCAUUGAUAGUAAAUAGAGCAAACAAAUAAAAAAUAACAAUAAUUAACUAUAAAAAAUGAGUUGUCAAUAUUAUAUUCGGGAGGAGAAGAAAUAAAAACUCGUUAGAGACUCACUAGUGCUUUUCCAUGGAUACCACCUUACCACAAAAAAAAUUCACUAAGACAAUUCCAACAUCAUUGUGAAACGUUGCACGACGACAUCAAAAGAAACUGCAUGCGUUGUUAGAGCAACGACCUAGAAAGCAAACAAAACAAAAUAUCAUGAAUUAAGCAUCUUAUACUUAUAUUUAAUCAAUUAAUUUAAUUUAAUUAAAAAAAAAUUCUUUUAAAAAAACUAAAUUUAACAAAGAACAACAAAUAAAAAAAACCCUAAACAACCUGUGUCAUUUUUAAAAUUAAUAAAAUAUCUUAUAAAAAGCAAAUAAAAAAAUAAAUUUGUCUAAUAUCCAAUUAAAUAAAUCCUAAAAGACAAAAAUGAAAAACCAUGAUCUUAAAAAAAGCAAAAAUAAAAUAAAAUAAGGAAACCCGAGUGAAUCUAUAAAACCUAGGCUAAUCUUUCAAACUCAUAACUUAUGAAAUCCUAGAUUCAGACUCAAUUAAGAAGCUCAAUUCUCAAUCAAUUAAUAACAAUAAAAAGAAUGUAAAUCAAAUCUAACAUGUGAGAAAAUUGGAGGAUAAAAUAAAAAAAUUAAGUUUUAUAAAUAAUUUUAAAUAAAACAAAACGUAAUAAAAAAAGACUAAAUCUGAAGAAAACAUAAAUUGAAUGGUUUCUAUGAAAAUUUGAAGGAUCAGAUGUAGAAAUCAAUGAGAACAAAAAAAAAAAAAAAAAAAAAAGGUUGUUAGCUUCAAAUUAGAGGGGUGUUGGCACACCCUUUUCCUAAUAAUGGAGGGGGAAUCGAGAGGAUUUAAACGUUGCCCUAAAAGCCACUGUUUGACCAUCACACGUCUCCUCAAGAACCAUCUUAAGGACAUGGGCAUGUCACACACGCCAACCACUUUUUGUUUUUAAAUAAUAUUUUAUAUUUAUUAAAAUACCAAAUUGUCCUUAGUUAACUUGAUAAUAACUAAAAAAACAAUAUGAAAAAAAAACCUAGAUACCAACACAUAAAUUUUUGCUUUUAAAGAUAAUUUAGUCAUUUUUGUAUGCUUUAAAAAGUGAAAAUAUUGGAAAAAGAAACCCUUAGAUGCUAGUUUAAAAGUUUUUAUUUUAAGGAUAAUUUAGUCAUUACACUAUGCAUAAAAAACAUUAAAAAACCGAUCUGCCCCUAUCACUCUAACAAUGACUUAGGAAAAACCCAUAUUACCCCUAAUAUCAAGUUAAAUGAGUUUCUUGUAAGGGCAAAGUCAUGUUAUUGUUCCAAUCCCUUUCGUAUACAAUGAAAAAUUAAUUAGUUUUAUGUUUUUUAUUUAUUUUAAUUUUUGUGGAAAAUAGACAUAAGUCUUUUAUAAAAGUCAUUAGGUGGACUGUAUAACCAAUUUAAGUGAUACAUAUACAACCUUAAUACUCUAACUAUCCAAUCACCAAUCAAAUUUAUAUUUCUAAGUAUCUUAAUAUUUAGACAGCAUGCGAACACACAAUUGAUGCUACUAGUGAUAGAGUUAAUUUUCCAUAACUAGUGUUUAUCUUAUUUGAUUGCUUAGACAACUAUUACUUGUUGUUUGUGUCUAAUUACAAGCAUUUUCAAUUUCAACUUGUUUUCAUUAAAAACAAAACGAGGUUUGUGAAUCAUAUUUUCUUAUUUGUUUAACAUUGUGUUAUUGUUUGUAUAAAUUUACUCACUAUAAUGAACAAUUGAAUUCUCUUAAGAUCACUAAUAUUUUAUUGUAAAAAAAAUUAAUAAAUAAGAGAAUUGGCUUAUAUUAUACAAAACACUAAAAGGCAUGGGGAAAUUAUUGUUCCUCAUGCCAUUAUAGCCCAUCUCACUGUUCACCGUGAACUUCCACAAUAAAUGUUUUUUAUCCUAAAACUUUUUUUUUCUUGUUUCGCCCUUAUAGAACCAAAUUAGAGGCCAAUUUAGAUUAAUUUGUUGGGGAAUGAUGAGAUUAAAAGAUAGGGUACCAAAGUGAAAAACAUAGAGAAAAUGAGUGGUUUUCUUGAAGUUUUGGUGAAAUGUUCAUUAAUGGAAAUUUUCUAAAUUAUAAAAUGGAGUCCCUUCAAUUUUUUAAAUUUCACAAAAAAAAAAUUAAUUUUAGCCCAAAACUUCAUUUUUAUUAUUUUUAUGAUCCUAGUUUAAGAGAGUAACAGGAUUCUGAAGGUCGAGAAAGAAAAUCAUUGUUGACAACAUUUCAAUCACUAAAAUAGUCAAUAUUGGUGUCAACGAGUUAUAUUCUGUGAGUGGAGUUUUUUUAGGUGUUUUUUCACCUUAAAAUUGCUUAAAAUAUAUCUAAGCUCGGAAAGAUUUUUGGUUUCGAGUUGAUUUUUGAUUUUUUUGUUGUUUUCUAGUUUUUUAAUGUCAUUAAUAGGUCUAUCAAGGUCUCUAAUGUGUUUUCUAAAUGUUUUUAGUAAAAUAAUGGAUUGAAAAUAGGGUUUCUAAAUCAACAAACCAUAAGGUCUCCUGAUUUUUUUACCACCAAAAUGACGAAAAUCUGAACAAAUAUAGAUGACAUGUCGCCUUACUUAUUUGUUUUUCAACAAAAAUUAGGGCUGACAACCCCGUUAGCUUUUAAAAAAAUAAGGGCAUACGCGCGGGCCCUUUCUAAAUUGGCCAAACAUGCUUGUCAUGCCCAGCAGUGCGUGAUCUUUUUUUUAUUGAUUUUUUAUUGACAAUUUUUUUAAAUAAUUUAUUUUUCAAUUAAUAUCCCUUCUCUGUGAUUAUUUUCGUAUUUUUCUUAAUUAGUCUUUUUUAAUUGGCAGUUUUUUUAAUUAUUUUGUAUACAUUUAAUUUUUGAAGAAAUUAUUCUAAUUUAUUUAUAAUUUGUUUUAUAAAUUAUAUAGAUAAACUUUAUUUUCAAAAAUAAAGAAUUUUUUUUUUUUGGAUAAUAUUUAUAAUAUGUACAACUUCGUAUAAUAUUUUUUUUAUUCAAUUUAUUUAAUUGAAUGUGUUUAUAAGCUUUUCAAUUUACAUUUAGAAUUUUUUUAUGUAAAAAAACAAGUUAAAAAAUUAUGAAUAGUUAAUUUUUUUUAUUUGAAAAAAAUAUUUGACUGAUGGCUGAGGUCAAAUAGUUCUAUUUUUCAUAAUAGUGGAAUUUGGUGUAAUUUAUACCAUGCUUGAGUUGGUUUUUUAUAUCGUGUCUGAGCAUAUUUUAGUUGUUCAAAUCGCCAUGUGUUUUGAUAUUAUACAAUUUAUUUCCUGUAAUUUUGUACUGAAUCCAUUUUAAUUCUUGAAAGAAGAUUUUCUCACUCGCGUGGAUUGUAUUAGAUUAUGGUCUCAUGAGCUAAUUAUUACUGUAAUAGUUAAUGGUAUAGUUGAAGUUACAAACACAUAAUUCGUUAAUAAUAAUUGUUUAUUUAUUAAGCACCAUCAAAUCAACCAUUCAAAAGCCAUAUAAACCCAGACAUUCUUGGCGAUGGACAGCCGUUGCGGCAUUCUGAGGCGGCUCUUUUCCUUAUGCUACGAGCUCUAGACCUGACAUCGAGGAAGAGGAUCAUGGCAAAUCCAAGGAUGAGACUACACAAUUCUUAACACAGGAUUAAGAACUGUAAAUGUUUAAUUAGAGAAAGUUUAAUUGGUUAGGUUUUAGAUUUGUAUUUUAGUGGUUAUGAGUUCGAGUCCUAUCAGGAUUGUUGAAGACUUACAUAGUUGUUUAUUUUAUGGUUCGUGAGAUUAGUCAGAAUACACAAGAUAGUUUGUUUGAAUAACCAUGUUAAUAAUAUAAAAAAAUAUAAAUGCUUACUGUAACUUUAGAUAGAUAUAGAUGAAUCAUCGAAAAGGGUUUCUUCGUCUUUGUUGAUUUCUAGAGCAAAUGAUUUUAGUCUACACUUUAAGGGUUUAGGUUUCCUCUGGAACUUAAAUCUAUUUCAUCUGAGUAUUAGAAAACUAAAAAGUAAAAAGCACUCCCCACUAGGCUUGGAGUAGAUGCCCUAGGUUGGAUGUUUGGUGAUUAGGUGAGGUGUGAUUUCUAAACAACAACGAGGUGGCGUAGCUUCUGUUCUUUCUUUUUUUAUUGAGGUAAUGGUUCCUUAGAAUACUUUCUCUUCAAUCCCACGCCACCAGCUUUGAAUAGACAUUACUAAAUUAUAGUACGCAUUACGUUGUGAGCAUGAUUAAAAAAAAUUAAUAUAAAGAAAAUAUUUAGGUAUUUAAUGUUAAAUCCUUUAAAUUUCGAGGGGAUUAUUUUGAUGUAUUUGAAGGGUCUAAAAACAAUUUAAAUUACUAAUAAAAAUAUAAUUUAACUUGUAAUAAAUAUUCAAAAUAAUUUUUUUUAUAAAUAUUAAAAUGAUAUAUUAAAUCAAUUUAAGUUAACAUGUUAAUUUGCAUUCAAGUCAUGAUUAAAAUAAAAAGCACUUUUCUAUGGUAAAUAAAUAAAUAGUUAGCCAAAGAUUAAGUAUUAUAAAAAAAUAAUAAUAACAAAUUCAGCAUAGAUUAAUAAAAAAUUAACAUAAACUCAAAGUGACACGUCAUCAUCAGCUUAAGAAUAUCUCAUAUCAUAGGACUCGAAUAUAAAGUUGUCAAAUGUUAAUAUAAUAUAUAAUAGAAGAAUCCUAUUAAUUAUUAAUUAUAUUAGUAGUUAAAAAACCCGACAAAUCAGAACUCAAUGGUUAAAAAACACUGGACAUGAUUAAACCAAGAAUAAAGGGCUAGGGCUCAUUGUGAGUCAUUCUAGGCGCCGUUUGGUAACGUGGCUGCGGGUGAGGUUCACCCGCAGCCACACAUGAAUUUUGUUUGGUAAGUAAAAAAUCCUGCUUUUCAUUGGCGGGGCCCACGAAAAUUUGAAAUGAAACUGAGGUUCAGGAGAAGCAGCAAAAUGCUGCUUCUCCUGAUGGAAGAAAGCUGGAACAGUGGAGCCAUGCUCCACUAUACAGUGUAAGUGAUUUUCGAAAAACAAAAAAGUAAAAAAAAAAAACCAAAAAAAAUUAAGUGAUUUCACUCGCAUUAUUCAUGUGAACGUGAACAAUAUUUUUUUUGUUUUUUUUUAAAUCAUGAAAACUGUAGUUUUUGUCGAAUGAAUUUGUACAUAAUGAAAUUGUAAUUUUUUUUAUAAAAAAAAUGAGUUUUAGUUGAAAAACUAGUAUUUAAUAUUAUUUAAUAACACUACAUAAAUUAGAAGGAUAUAGCAUGAUGACGUAGCAUUUGUGAAAUUUGAUCACAAUUCCAAUUAUGUUUUUGCCGUGUCCGACCCAAUUAAAAAAAAUCAACUUGUAUUUGUAUUUUAAUUGUGUUUUAUUCAAAAAAAUAGAAAGAGAUCACUUGAUGACGUAACAAAAAAUUUAGUUUUUGUUGUUGCGUGUUUAAGAAACCAUGAAAAAUAUAGUUAUUGUUGGAUAGAUUUCGUAUGUGAUGACAUUGCAUAUAGUUUAAUAGAAUAAUAAAAAAUAUUUGAUAUUAAUAUUAUUUAUUUCAUGAUGUAACAAUAGUAGUUAAAUCUACAAUAUUUAAAUUAAAAGUAUUUUUUAAUUAUUUUAUAACCUUAAUUUGAAAAGCAUUUUUUUAACCAAACACAUUAAACUACUUUUUGUUCAACCUCAAUUUCAACCACAGUUUUAACCAAACAUAUAUUUUUUCAAAUCAACCUCAACUAAAAGUACUUUUUAUAAAACAACUUUUUUAAAACCACAACCACAACAGCAACCGCAAUACCAAACACACCCUAAAUCUUAACAGCGUUCAGCAACAAUAAGUUCCAAUACCCUCAGUAACUUGUUUUUCCUACCGGAGGAUGAGGCUAUGCACACACACAUGGUAAAUGAUAUGCUUGAAGUAGAAACACAGCAAUCAUUGAGGCCUGGAGAAACUAUUCAAUCUAUAUUUUUAAAAAAUUUAAUUUUUUUAUUAAAAAAUAAUUUUUUUAUAUAUAUUUUCAAGUCGUUUUGAUACAUUAAUCUUAAAAAUAAUUUUUUUAAAUAAAAAUAUUAUCAUUUUAAUAUAUUUCUAAACUACAAAUACUUUAAAUCGGUUUUAAAUAAAAUUAUACAAUGUCAUAAAAAAAAAAGAAAAAAAAAAAGAACAAGGCUGCAGAACAAUGUGCAUUUCUUUCAAGACAUCGUAUUUAUAUUCUAUCACACACAAGUACAGACCAAUCACUAGCGUCUGUGAAUGCAAUCAGCCUGGAGCAACACACCUUAAACGAAAUAUAACAAGAUUUUCAAGAAAAUACAACGCAAUUUCAAUUCUUUAAUUUUUUUUUUUUCUGGAAGCAUACAAUACUUCAAAGCUGUAGCUCACAUAGUUAACUGCAAGGUUGAACUGCUUCAUGGACUGCAGCAAAACCCCAGGGAUACAGAAGGCAGUCGGAGAAUUAACCGUGAUAUAUUGGCUAGCUUUAUACGUAGCCCGGUGUAUAUAUACUUUAUGCCUGACCACACUUACUCAAACAAGCCAUCCCUUCUUCUAGAUAAUCAUCUCUGCUAAUCCAGAACUCAGGUGCAUCCUGCAUCAAAUUAUCCACAGGAUACAGAUUUUAUUUCACAACUAAACCACCAGAAAAAGUUUAAACUGCUGUGGGAAAAUAGUCACGAUCUUUUAAGGUUGAGAGAAAGAGAGAGAUAGAAGCAUGUACCUUCAUAAUUCCUGCAAGAACCGCACCACCAAGGUAGACCAUAUGCUUUCUUCGUGGUGGAUCUUCAAUCCUCAAUCGAAGUUUCUGUUCACAAGUUAUAAUGCCAACCCCAAUAUGUUUACUUCUACAUCAAGUGUGCCAAAGCCAUCACAGACACUUUCAUAAAUUAUUCAAAUGAAAAAUUAAGUGUUUGGUAAUUGUUUCCCUUUUGUACGUCAUAUUAUAAAAGACUUGGACCUUACCUUUAACCCGUCCUUGUUUCCCUUGAGAACUGCAUCUAGAUAGCGAUCCAGUAUUUCUUUCUCCAGCCUGAACCAUAAAUAAAUAAUAAACAUGUGAAUAAAUCAUCCGGUGGUUUCCAGAUUCAACACUUGCAAGAAGCACAUCCAUUUGUGCCAACAGAAAUGAUAGAAGCCACUGGGUCCACUAUUGAAAUAGAUCAUGAAAAUCUCUAAAACAAAUUUUUUAAAAUCCUUGAACAUUGUGUGAUAAUGCAGGGAACCAGAAAAAAAGGGGAUUGACUUCACACUAAGAAUAUCACAGUAUUAGGAAUAAUCCUAUUGGCAGCCACCAUAGGACAUCAUUUCACAUUUUAUGCUAUUUCCAUCAUGCAUGACAUCAGGCACUUGAAAAUUUUUAUCAGUGUUGACAGAAAUUUGUAAACAUGAACCUAAAAAUGCAUGCUAAAAGCAACAUAAAACAUAUCUGGAAUGAGUGAGUAUUUUAUGCAAGAAGAAAGCGAGCUGUAUGAAGGAAUUAAAGAUAUUACCGGCUAGGUAAUCCAGGAUACAUUGUGCUCCCUCCACUUAAGACUAUAUGCUGGUAGAGCUGCACAGAGAAAGAGAGGGGAAAUUAACAUGAACUCAACUCGAGUUCAGCCCUUUGAGGAAUUCUACAUGCAACCCAGCAUAAGAAGAAAAGAUGGCAAGACUGGGGACUAUAUGGACCUUCCCUUAGUGCUACAGUCUUCAGAUUACUUAAUAACCAAUCUUCUGGACUACAGAAAGAAUAUAGACCCCAACCCUAUUGCUAGCCACAUCCACUAAUUUAUUGCAUUGUGAGGCAAAGGGAUUCUAAAAACACCGUCACAAAAUGCUGCGGCAAGUACAGGAGAUGAUUUGGCAUGUGCACAACUAAAAUAAAGAAGACAACAUACUGGAAAGACUUUUUAGAAGCAAAUGAAAUAGGAAAAAAGAUGAAACAUAUUCUAAUCUUAGAAAUCCAUCACUUAAUAUGAGAAAUCAUAAACUGAGAAAGACAAGUUUUGUAAAGUUAAGUUCUCAUGUUAAAUAGGUUAUAGUUUUAAUAUCCCCACCCAACAGUUUAACAGGAUAAUCAAAACCGUUAACUGCAUUAAGAUAUAUAUCUGGAGUACAAUAUGGAAAAAAUGCUAGUACCAUCAUACGGUUGUCGAUAUCCAUUUCUUGAAUGCAGCGAAAAACCAUGUCAGCCAUCCCAUCACCUUCAACAUCUAUGAGUUCCUGCAAAAAGGAACCACCAAUAACUUUCCAGAUCUUAAACCUAUCAACAUCUUGUUCUAAUUGCAUGACCUCUUAUUGUCUGUCAUGAUGAUUAUAAAUAAAUAAAUAAAAACUCAAAAGCCAGUGCUAUUAUUAUGGCAACAUGAUCAACUACUCUUUUGUUAAAUGUUAGCAGUAAAAUAGAUUAACAUGUAAUGAGUUGACAAUAAACAAUGUGAGCUGUAACUCUGCAUCUUACUACAAGCCCAAAAUGAUUGUCCCUUGGAUAAAAUACAUGUAUCAAAAAAUUGUCUAGUUCACACCAUUUAACAGGACCUAUAGAUAAGUUUGCUGAAAACAAGUUAAUGAAAUUAACCACUUAAUAUUCAGAUGGACCUUGUAACUGCACAAUAUUGUAAUAUGAAAAUUUAAAUAAGAUGACUUGAAAAGGAAGGGAGAGGCGGAGCUAUAGACUUACCGGUGUAAAAAGAGCCUCAGGGGCCUGGAACCUUUCAGUGCCUACUUUAAUGAUCCUUCCAUCUGGCAGCUGAUGAAUACAGCAAUAGCAAGCUAUUAUUUAAUAGGUAAGUAGUUUUUCAUUAGAUUGUUCAGAUAAUAUGGAAGCUAAUACCAGCCCAAAAUCCAGAAGCACCUUAUUGAAAAGAACCCAUAGGGUAUAUCAAAUUGAACACUACGAACAAACCUAUACAGAUAGAUUAGUUGGCCAAGGCUUUCAAUUAUUAACUAGAUCUCCAAAGUUUGAGCCCCAGGGCUACCAAUACAUAUGAUGCAAGUGAUUACACAUAUAAUCAAUCAAAUGAGGGGAAAAGCAUAGAACAAAAUAAAGCAUGAACACACAAACAAUAAGGCAGCUAAAAGAUGAAUAGAACCUAUGCAAACCAUGCAAGCUUUUGUUUGACAAAGCUAUUCCUGAUAGUAUAGUAGAUGCAGCACUUACCAAGAAACAAAAAAUAAUCAUAAGAUUCAACUUACUGUAUAGUUUUUAACCAGUAUGGUGGUCUCAAGUCCCAAUUGAUACUCCCUCUUGUAGUCAUAACUGUAGAUAAUAUAUUUAGUAUUAAAUCACAAUGCAAUAACCCAUCUACACCAUAACAUUGUAGCUUCUUCACCUAAUAUAGCAGAGUUUUUCUUUGAUUUCCCUGACAGUCUCAAAAUCAGCAGUCCUAUUCAUUGCAUACCUACAGAAAUAGAGUAAGACAUUCCAGUUAUCUAAUUGUAUCAUAGUGAACAGGGUAGAAUCUAUUAAAUUCAUCAGACAAUUUAUUUAACAAGAAUUUUGGCCCUCACCCUCUUCGUGAAAGUAAAUCAACAAGAUAGGAUGUAAUGUGCCGACCAGCUACGUUCAUUCGCUUAGUUAGAUGAGGGAAUGAAUAGCCGUCAACAACAGGAACCUGGAGAGAAAAGCCCAAGUAUCAUGCUUUUGGAUACUGCCAGUUAGAUGGACAAGCCAUAGCUUUUACCCCUAGAUUAAUUAGUCGUGAACACAAAUUGCAUAGAGCAUUGAGAACAGCAUCAUAAACAGUGAGGGCUCCAUUGCUUUUUAUGAGACAAUGGCAAAAAUUCAUAAUUUACAUCGCCAUCACAAGAAAAUAGCAAAACAGACUGAACUAGUAUUGAGUUUUGGAGGAAGAACAUUUCCUUGGAAUGAGAAUGGAAAUGGAAAUGGAAAUGGAAAUGAAAAUCAGACACUAUAUAAAUGUGGCGAAUGAUUUGAUUUUAGUUCAUUGCAAGUGGAUGGCAAUAUUUGUGAACUCUAACUAUGAAUGGAUCUCAAGUAGUUUACCACAUGAGUAACCCCAUCGCCAGAAUCAAUAACUAAUCCAGUCAGUAAACCUGCACAAACAAUACGAUGCUGAAGCAAAUAUCCAAAGACAAGGGCAAGUAACAAAUAAAGGGGGGAGGGGGGGGGGUGUUGAGCAACAGCAAAAGAAAUAACAAUGACAUUGAGCAUUCCACAAAAAACAUUAGUAUAAGUAGUUUUUAAGGCAUUCAAAGGUAAAUUUUCCAAAACUCUACAUCUCAUGAUUCACAUCACUAAGAAAGAAAUAUGUCGAUCAAUAAAACAUAAACCUUCAAUCAUCUCCACAAGCACCUUGGGCAUACAAUGUUAAAACAGCUUGGAUUUGAAUGAAGACACCAGCAAAAUUGUAUUUCUCAAACAUUGUCUCGACCUGCAUAUCAAGUGAAUCCAAAUCACCAUCACAUUAUGGAGUGAUUGAAAAUAACAACAAUGUUACAGAACAUUACCAUAAAGAAUUAAAUCACAAACCAUUUUUUCACGAUUUUUUGAGGGAUUAAGAGGUGGGUCUGUGAGUAAAAUCUUACAUUCCGUUGGAUCUAUCUGUCAAAAGAGAAUGUAGGGCACGGCUAGUUAUGAUCCAGUCAAAAUUACAACUAAAUACAGUUAAAGAAAAACUUAAAACAUAAUUCUGGAGGGCAAAACAAAAGGAAGGCGCCACCGGAUGUAUACUUUAAGUUGAUUAUAAAAAGCAUGAUCCCACACAUGACCCAUAUCAUCCCAGUUCUGAACGAUUCCAUUGUUAACAGGAUAAGAUAUAUCUAACUGAUGCCUCAAGCCAGCACAAGCCUCUCCAACAACGAUAUCCUAAUUCAAUCAGAAAAAAGAAAAAUAAACUAAAAAAUAAAAGCAAAAGCAUUAACUUGCACACACAAAAGUAAUGCAAAUACACAUGAUGAUAAUUACAUUAUAGUUGAGAUGUUUUUUACCUUCAAUUGAUGUUCCAUUAGUGAUUCCUCGUAGCGUAGCAUCGGCCUUCCAACCACACACGGGAAUACAGACGUUGGGAAAUUCUCUCCAGCAAAUCCACACUUUACAUACUGCAACAAAAAUAACUCUCUAGUUAUCAAACUCAACAAAUCCAUAAUCACCAUACUCUUAAUUUUUAAACAAAUGUAAAGGCUAACAAAUCAAUCAAUUACAAAUUACAAAAUCAUUAACUAAAGAAAACAAAAUUAUUAUCCAUAAAAACAAUUGAUCGUGCUGUUUUACACGUUCUUCUCUCCUACUUAUGCUUUCAAAUUACAAAAUUUUCAAGCCAAAUGCAAUUCUUAAAAAAUAAAUCGAAGCGAUCAUUCACAAGGCUGGCACAUUUUUCAAUAAAAAAAGAAUUCGUGGAUUAAGCAUACAUGAAAUGCAGAUCAGGGAAAAUUACAUGAACUGAUAAAAUCAAACAAGAAGCGAGUGAAAACAGAGAUCCAUUCUUUGGAUCGAGAACAAAUGAGGGAUGGAGGUAUACCCCUGUGCCAUUAUCGCAAACGACGACGUUUCUACUGUCCAUGAUGAGGCAGCUCUGCGAUGAUGAUUUUCUUCAAACUUUGGAAAUAAUUGAAAGUGCAGUCAGCUAAGGAACGUUGUUGGGAUGACUUGGGCUGUCCCGUAAUUCUUUAUAUUCUGGUGGUUAUUUUUUAAAAUAUUUUAUUUAAAUAUAUUAAAAUAAUAAUUUUUUAUUUUUUUAACAUCAAUAUAUCAAAAUAAUUAAACAAAAAAUAAAAUUAAUUUUUGAUAAAUAAUAUUUUGAUCAAAAUACCAAACACGAUUUUUCUCAAUUUAAUUUUUGUAUAUUUAAUUUUUGUAUAUUUAAUUUUUUUAAUUUAAAUUUAAAAUAAAUAUUGAUCACAAUAAAUAAUUAUCAUUAAACUUUUAUUAUCUAUAAUUUUACUUUUCCAAGUUACAAUAGCAUGUUUUUUUUAAAAAAAAAACAAACAAUUUACAUUUUUCACAUGUAUUGAGUUUUGAGUAAUAUUCUACGAUAAGUUUGAUCCCCGUAGUUUUAUUUUUCUAUCAUUUAGUUUUAUUAUUUGAACAAUUCAUGUUUUGAUAUCAAACUUUAUCUUAUUCACAUUUUAAUCCUGAGAUAUUAAGAGAAGAGAAAGAGAAAAUUAUUGAAAAACAUAAAGGAGAGAAAAAGUGUUGUAAUGGUCAUAUUUUGGUUAAGAGUAAAGAAAGAAAGUCAUUGAAAAAUGUUAAAGGAAAGAGAAAGUGCUCGAAUUGUAAUAUUUUGGCUACCAAAAAGAUUGAUUUUUGAGUCAAUAGGUUUGUCUUCUUAAGUGGAGUCUAAUGAAGACAAUGUUUUCCUAUGAACAUGCCAAAAAUAGUAGUCGGUGUCAGUUAAGGUUUUUUAUUCGUUUAAUCUUCAUUUUUUGGAGUGAAUAAAAAGUGUUUUGAGGUUGAAAAUGGAUUUAUUAAGGUCUCAGUAGGGGUUUUGAGGUGUUUUCUAAUGAAAAAAAAAUUGAAAAUGAUUUUGUAAAUCCACCAAUUUAACUCUAAUUUUUCGAUCAUCAGAUAUGACGGAAAAACUAUCAAGCAAGUGACAAAGCUAGUUGUCCUUAUGAAAAAAAUAUUAGAGCCUUUAUAACUUAUUGAAAUUUUGAUAUAUUUGCAAAAUAUUAAAUGUUGUCUAAUAUAUGAGAGAUUCAAUUAACAAAAUACUAAGUAUUUGUUUGGUAGUAUUGUGAAUUGUGGCUAAAAGCUUGAAACUAUGUUUUGCCUCAACCAUAGUUUUGAAAGUGUUUGGUAAUUAACACACUCUAUAGUUUGCAUGUGUCUUCUUGAAAAUUCUCUAUUAAAAUCUUGGUUGCUGAAAAACUACAAUUCCUAGCUUUUCUUAAACAUACAUUUUCAAAUCAUAACUAUAAAAAACUACUAGAAUAUCAAAUAUACAUUAAAAGAUGUGGUUAAAUCACUAUAGUCACGCUUAUAAAACACUAUUAACUAGAAUAGUAAAUUUUUUUGUUAAUUUCACCUUUCAACAACCUAGACUUUUUUUAUUUAGGUCUUUUUCAAAUUCAUCACUUAAUAUUAGGUUAUUUUGGGAAUUGUGAUUCGAAAUUUUUUUUAAAAAAAAUUUUGGGUUAUAUAUUGAUUUCAUGGAUUUAGUUUUUUUAAAAAAAAAAUUUAACUUUCAACAUUAGAUCUGUUAGAAGUGGGCUUCUUAAUUUUGGUUUUUAUUUAUAUUUUUAUGAAUUCAUCUCGAUUUCAUGAUACAGGUUAGAGGUUUAACAAGUUAACCCGAUUCACUCGGGUAUUUUUUUACCGUUUUUUUAUAGUUGAUUUUUUUUUAUUUCUUCCUUCAACAUCGGGUUGGUUGAAAUUAGGCUUUAUAAUUUUAUUUUUUUCCUUUUUUUAUAGGGUUAUUCUGAUCUCAUGAUUCAAAUCGCGAGUUUUGCAAGUUGUCAUGUGUUAACUCUAUUCAUUUUUUUGUUCUUUUUAGAUUGAUUUUUUUUUUAUUUCAUCCUCCAACAACUUAAUUUUUUUUAUUUUUUUUUAAUUUCAUCAUUCAAUAUCUUUAAUGUUAGGUUGUUUGAAAAUUAAGCUUCGUAUUUGUUUUUUCAAUUCAAUUUACUAUAUAUAGAGUCAUCCCGAUCUCAUUGAUAUAUUUUUUUUCUCUUGAUUUUAACCUCCAACACUAAAUUUGUUGGAAAUGGGACUUUGUAAUUUUUUUAUUUGCAUUUUAUGAGGUUAUCUCAUGACCCAUAUCACAAGUUUACAUGUUAGUCCAAGGUGACUUGUGUUGUUUUGUUUAUCUUUUUUUUAAUUGAUUUUUUUUCUUCGAUUUCAUCCUUCAAAUUUGGAUUGGUUGGAGAUUGAGCUUUAUAAUAAUUUUUAAAUUUUCAUGCUAUGAGGUUAUCUCAAUUUCAUGACUGGGGUUGUUGGUUUGCCAAGUUGACCCGAGUAGUUUUUUUGUUCAUUUUUUAUUUAUUCUUUUUAAUUUCAUCAUUCAACAUUGAGUGAAUUAGAAAUUAACCUUCAUGAUUUUUUUUAUUUUUUUUCUAUAAGGUUAUCAUGAUCUUAUGACGACGAAUGACAGAUUUGACGGGUUAAUCUAAGUCAAUCUAAUAUACAACCGUAACAAUAUUUACAAAAGAUAUCAGACAACAUGCAUCAUAUUUUGAGUUCAUGAUUAACUUUUUUUAUUAGCAAAAACAUUAGCAAUGCAUGGACAUUUUUUAUGUUAAAAAAUUAAUCUGACCCACAACGCAGCGCAAACCAAUGAUCUAGUAGAUUGUUAUAUGUCAAAGACGAAUUCCUUUUUUCAAAACAAUCUAUUAAGAAAAUUAAAAAAAAUCAUACAAAUUAGUUAAAUAACUAGUACUGGCCCCCACGUUACGCUGAAGGUUGGAGAAAAAAAAGUCAAUUCAAGCAUAAAAAAGUACAUGUUAGCAAUGUUAAAUUUCAAGUUGACGAUAAAAAAAUUAAAGUGCGCAUUGAAAGUUCAAUCAAUGUGUUCAAUAAAACUAAUCGAUCAUCAUACACGCAAAAAAAUGUUAAAAGAGUCGCUAACGAUGAUCAAACACUGGAUCAAGGUGUUAAACGAUUGAUGCAAACAAGAAAAACAUACUCUCCCGAUGUGGCAUGCUAUUUAGCAUUUUUUUUUAAUUAUAUGUCAAUUUUGGUUUUUCUCGACAAAAAUAAUAAAUUGAAUCAAAACAAAAUAACUUUCAAGAAUAGUUCCUCUUUUUUUUUUAUCGAUUUAGCAUUACCUUAUGUUGCAGUCCAUUGGAUGACAUGAGUUUCAAAUCCAAUCAUGUUGGAGUUGGCUCAGGGCCUAAACACAACCUGGUUGCCUUGUUCAAAACUCAAUUUGGCUAAAAACAUUUCAACUAAUUGGUUUGGCCACUUGUCUCUUUCAUUUACCUUAUGUUCUUUUCCUCCCAAUUAGGUCUUUAUUGGGCAUGGGUGAGAUGAAAUUUAAGACCGAACCGAAGCCCUAUAAAAGAAUUAGGGACAAAACCAAGGACCAAAAAAAAAAAUGAUAAGGGCUAAAUUUUAUAAAAUGAUUGAAUCAACGACCAAAUCAAAAAAUUAAAGAGUUAUAAAAAAUUAAGGACCAAAUAAAAAAAAAUCUAAUAAGGAACUAAUUUUUUAAAAAAUGGCUAGCGUAUGUGCUGUACAUGACAACAUGUGAGAAAGGCCAUGGAGUUAAGGUGGCGCAUGAGAGCUCUUCUAAGCUCCGAUGAUGGCCUUUCUUUGUGUUGUUAAAAUCAAAUCAACUUCGAUUCUCUUCCAUGGCAACACUUGUUAGUGACGUAACCCUUACGUGUCUCUAAUAACCCUUUUUCUUUCAUUCAUUUUCUAGCAUUUUUUCUCUCCCCUCGAUUCUUGUGUCUAUCCUCAAGAAAACUAUUAUUGCCAUGCACAAUAGUUUGUGAGAAAGGCCACAAUGUAUCUUUGAUAAGAUUUUUUUUGAAUUUUAAUAUAUAUAUAUAUGCUUCACAUGUACCAACAAACUAAUACAUAUAAUAAAACAAACAAUUAAACAUAUACACAUUUGUUUUACACUUCUUAGUUUUUUCAAUCAAUACUAUAAUUACUAUUUUUGUUGUUGUCAUAAAUUCAAACUAGCAUCUCAUUAUAUAUAUAUAUAUUUUUUUAUAAAAAAAAAUAAAGGGCAUUAGUGUUUCACCAUGUCUUGUAAUGAAAACUCUUUGUUUAGUCCCAAAUUUUUUUUUUACUUCUGCCCUUCAAUUUGAUUUUUUUUUAAAUUGGUCUUUUAAUUUUGUGUUUCUUUAGGAUUAGCCAUGGUGAUUUGUUUUUAUGCUUAUGUAUCGGGGCCUUAUGGUGUUAGGGGAAUACUCUAUCGCUUGGAAAAAUAAAAUUUAUUUUUAUUGAUUUAUAAGAUUAUAGCUUUGGGGACCAAAUCUAAAAGCUUAAACAAAUAUCAAGUCUUUUUUGUUUGCUAACAUCAAGGACUCAUUUGCCCUAUCAAGGGAAUUUUUUUUCAAUCACUCAAUUUUUUUUCUUCUAAUUUGAUCCUUUCACAUUGAUUUUUUUUUUGGGAUUUGACCUAGAAGUUUAUUUUGGUUGCUUAGAUGUAGGGUUCUUGUAAUGUUAAGGCAAAUGUUUUGUGUUCGGUUGAUGCUCGGUUUGGAAAACUAAAAUAAAAUUAUGUUUAUGUAAAAUAAUUAGGAGUUAAGAGAUUAAAAUUGAAACUAAAACAAAUAUAGCGAACCAGGUAAAUAGGUAGGGUGACUUGGCUAGUGCAUAUAAUGCAUGAGCCAGUGUAUGGAAGCUUUCCAUUGAGCUUUAAUGACGUGUAUGGAGGCUUUCAAUGAAGGGACAUGGUAUUUCGUCUUUGCAUUGGAUUCUUUGUGGUGAGAUCUUCCUGAUGAGGAGUUGCGUGUACCAAUUAGAAGUGUGUGACCUGUUUUUCAUAUUUUCCCUUCUCAUACCUCUCAUCUCAUCGAGAUUCAUAGUGUCUUGCCAUUUCUUUUUUCUUUUUUCUUGGAUUUGGUUCUCAAUGCUACCUUUUCUUUUUUAAUCCUUUUUUGAAUCGAUAUUUUUCAUUUUGACCCUUACUAUUUUGUUUCUUUUAGUUUUUAUAUCAAACGUAGUCUCCAUCAUGGUUGUUAAAAUCGCAAUUCAAGUCGUAAAAUCGUACGUUUUUAUGAGUGAAUAUAUACUUUACAUACUAAAUCGUUCAUAAAACUCGGAAAUGAGCAAAAUCGUAUCAAAAACAGUUAAAAUCAUUAAAAUCGGGCAAAAUUGCAUAAAAUCACUAUUUCACCACCGAUUGAACGAGUUUGCCCGCAGGAGAACAAAAUUAAGUGUAGCUGCCACGUGUCACCCACCUAUUGGCUUGAAGAGAUCGAAGGCAAUUUAUUUAGUAACUGUGACUCACCGAAUCAGUCUUCUCUUAAGUGACAUUCACAAUUCACGCUCAGUCUUCCCCUUCAAUCUUCUCUCGGAUAAUCGAAAUCCCUAAAUUGAAAAUCCCAAAUUUAACAACCAUGACUAAGACUGAGACCUCUUAAUCUCUUGUAGUCUUCCUCUCAGCCAACAAUCAACCACCGUCACGGCCCUCGCUCGUCCCUCAUCUGCAUUAUUUCCAUCAUCGACAACGUUCUUUCCACCGGCCACUGUGAGAAUCACAGUCCACACAACAAUAACGGUCAACGACGUCUCUCCAGUCUUCACGAGGUAAGUUACACUGUUCGUUUAUCUUGUUUCUCUAGUCUUCAAGUGGGUUUUUUUUCCGUCCCUGUCCGUUUAUUAGUCUCAUCACUGAUGUUAAUGUUAGUUUGAUUGAAUUCACAGGCUCCAACUUUGACUGCAAACAUUCACUGUGAGUCUUGUUGCUUAGUCCGUUACUCCGUUUCUCUUCUCAACGUCGGUGCUCACUGCUCAGAACAGAGGUAAGCUUCUUAGUUUCUUACCAUUUCGUUUCUUUACAGUUUAAUGAUGUCUAAUCUGUUAUUGAGACAUGUUAAUAUUCAAGUGUCCAUCAAUUUGAGAGUAUGCCUGCGAAUUUUGGAUUGAAAUAUAACUGGUGACAGUGUGUGUGUGUGUGUGACAGUGUCUAAAUGGAGAGACUCUGUUUUUUCUUACCUUGAAUUUGGAUUUAUUGUAAUUUAUUUUAGAGUGUUGUUGCUGCUGCUGAGUUGUGAAUUGUGAUGAAUGGGUUUAUUGUAAUUUAGAAUGAUGAUUGAUGAUGUUACUGCUAAGUUGUGAUAAUGGAUUUAUUGUAAUUUAUUUUAGAGUGUUGUUGCUGCUGCUGAGUUGUAAAUUGUGAUGAAUGGAUUUAUUAUAAUUUAGAAUGAUGCUGCUGCUGCUGAGUUGUGAUGCAUGGAUUUAUUGUCAUUUUACCGUGAUUUGGGUUGUAACUUGUGAUGAAUGGAUUUGGGUUGUAAAUUGUAAUUUAGAGUGCUGAUUGACUGUUUUUAUGCUGCCUUUGUUGAGUAGUAAAUGGUUGUAACUUGUAAGUUUGCAACCUGUAAUGGAUAAUAAUAUAGAAGAUGGGUUGUUGACUGUUAUUUUUUUGUAGUGUGUAUUAAAAUCAAGUUUGUAACCUGUUAUAAAAUGUUUGGAUAAUAAUAUAAAAUGUUUGGAUUGAUUUGAAUUGAUUCUUGAAUUGUUGAACUUAUGGCAUCUAGAAAAAAUGCUUCUGGUAAUAGCCUUGAUGUUGGAUGGCAGCAUGGGAUAGAUGUUGAUAAAAAUUCUAGAAAAGUUUUGUGCAAGUAUUGUCAAAAAAUUAUUAGUGGAGGUAUAUUUCGUUUCAAACAGCAUUUGGCUUGCACUCGUAAGGAUGUUGAGUCAUGUCAGCAAGUGCUAGAAAAUGUUAAGCAUAUGAUUUUAGGUGUUUUGGUGAAAAAUCUAGAGGCAACUGAAAAGAAAAGAAAGGCCCUUCAAUAUAGUAGAAAUGAUGUUGAUGAUGAUGAAAUAAAAGAAAUUAGCUCCAAGGACAAAGGAAAGAGAGUAGCUAGUGAGAGUGAAAGUACACAAACAACUCUAAAUCAAUUGCUAAAAAAGGAUAUUAGCUCCAGAAAAUUUUUUUAUAUAUAUUUUAAAAUUCCGAUUUUUUUACGAUCCGAGUUUAACAACCUUGGUCUCCAUUAUUUUGAUUGUGAUUUGUUUGUUUUAAAUCCUUUUUUAUUGUUUUUUUUUAAAUUUCAUCCCUUAGCAUUUGGUUGAUUGAGAAUUUGACUUUGUGAUUUUUUGGGUUUGAUUCUAUGAGAUAAUCCUAACCUCAUAACCUUAGCCAUGGAUUUGGAUAAUUAAUGUGAGUUGACUCAAUCUUUUUUAAGCCAAUUUUAAAAUUGAUUUUUUUUCAAUUUCAUAUUUCAAUAUUAUGUUGGUUAGGGAUUGGGUUCCUUGGUUUUUUUAUUUUCUGUUAUACGGAGUUAUCCUGAUCUGAUAUCACAGGUUGUGAGCUUGGGGGUUAACCCAGGUUAACUCAAGUCUUUCUUUUUUUAAAAAAAUAAUAAUUGAAUUUUCCCAUUUUCGCCCUCCAACAAUAAGGUUGGUUUAGGAAUUGGUUUUCAUAAUUUUAUUUUAUUUGGAUUUUGAUGAGGUAAUUUUGGUCUCGCGACUAAGUUGCAAAUUUGGCUAAUUCGGAUAGAUUUGGGUCAAUUGUUUUUGCCUUUUUUAAAAAUAAUAUGUUUUCAAUUCUACCUUUCAAUAUUUGAUUUGCUAUGAAUUAAACUUUGAUUUUUUUUUCAUUUUGUUUUUUACAAAGCUAUCAUGUUAUCAUAUACUUUUUUGCUAUGUUAUUAAAUAAGCUCAUGAAUACCUUUUAAUAAUAUUGGGAGGAUAGCUUUCCAUAAUAUUGAUAAAGUUUUAUUUUUCGCAAAUAAUCAUUGUUAUUUUUUUAGCUCGAUUUAUUUAUUGUUUUUGUUUUUUAAUUAUAUUAUUAAAAUAAAAAAGUUUAUUUAAUUAAAUCGAGUGAAAUUGGAAUUUUCUUGUUUUUUUUUAAAUGCUUCGUUGGUUGAUCUUUUUUUUAUGGCAGUAAAAAUUUGACAUGACUACCACAUGUUACUAAUCUAGCUUAUGUAUUUAUUUGAUUUGAAAUAUAUAUAUAUAUAUAUAUCAAGCCAAACCAUGUUUUUAAAAACAUAAAAAAGAAAAGUUAUUAAGAGCGCAAAGUUUUUUUUGUAAUGCUAUAAACCAAGGGAAAAUGAUAAAUCUUUAAGAGCUAAUCAACACAAUGUGAAUUGGUUUAUUUAAUAGGUUUGAAGGAAACUUGGAUGACCUUUUUUAUUAUUUUCAAAAAUAAAUGUUAAACAAUAAAAUUAAAAAAUAAAUUAUAAUGCAAGAAAUAAAAGAAAACGUCGAGCUAUAUAAACUUUUCAAACUAGUAAUCUGUGAUAUUAGAUAAAAGAUAUCAUACAUGGAAAAGCAGUGAAACUCAAUUGUCAGCAAAUCUAAUAUCGAACGAUGAAUGAUCACAAUUUUUAGUAUAAUAAUUACUAUUCACAUCGUUAUUAUUAUCAUUACUAAUAUUGUCACAAUCAUUACAACUAUCACCAUUACUACUAUUAUCAAUAAGUAAUAUCAUGAUUAUUAUUAUUAUUAUUAUUAUUAUUAUUAUUAUUAUUAUCGUGAUCACUAUUAUUAUCAUAAUUAUCAUUGUUAUUAUCAUCGCUAUUAUUAUUGUUGUCGUUGUUGUUGUUUAUACUAUUGCUAUAAUUAUUAUCACCACCAUUAUAACUAAUAUUACCAUUAUUUUUAUUCUUAUCGCGAUCAUCAUUAUUGCUAUUAUAACCAUCAUCAUCAUCAUCAUCAUCAUUAGUAAUAAUAGUAGUAGAAGUACAUUUCUGGGUUAUUCCCUAAAUUCACUUUUUUUUUCAAAAUAAAAAUAAAAAAAAUUAAAUAAAAGCUAGCGAUGUGAAGAAAGCAAAUGGAGAAGGAUUUUCAAAAUACAUAAAAAUUAAGCUGCAAUUUUGGUUGAAAUUCGAAGCCUCAUUUUACCCUAUUAUGCCAAAAAAUAGAGAAAUAAUACAGAUUAAAGGUCAAAAUUGAAUAAUUAUUGAACGAAUCUGCAUAAAAAUUAAGUAUAUAAAAACAUAAUUAAAUUUUUAAUAGGCCAAUUUGAUUUAAUCAUAUUAAAGUUUGAUUAUGUUUAAAAAUCAAUUUGGGUCCAAUUAAAGUAUUUAAUUAAGUGCAAAGACGUAAUUAUACUUUAAAUGAGUCAAAUUAAUUUUAUCAUGGGCUUAAUUGGUGAAAACUUAAGUUUGGAAGCCUAAUUUGGGUUUAAUUAAGAAGAUUGAAUUUUAAGAGAUCAAAUUUAGUUUUUACUAAGUCAGUUGAUUGAAAUCAAGGGCAAUUAGAGGUUAAAUUGAAGAAAUUCGCAACCAAUGAUCAAUCUGCAAAAGACACCGAACUAUGAGAACCUAAUUGAUUGAAAUCAGAAGUACCACCACCACCACAACUAAUAAACUAAUAUUAUUACCACGAUCAUUAAAAUUAAAAUUAUUAUUAUUAUUAUUAUUACAACCACUACAAUUACCAUUAUUAGUAUUAUUAGCAUUAUUAUUAUUAUUGAAAUAACAAAAAUCAUAAAUUUGUUUUGAAAGAUAAAAUCAAUAAUCAUAAACUUUUUAACAAAAAGGCAAAUGAAACAAAUAAGAAAUCAAAUAAAAAAGGACCAAACCAAAAUAAAUAUUAUUACUAUUGAAAAGAAUGAGAAUUGAAAUGAAAAACAAAACAUAAGAGAAAUUGUAAUUGAAGGAUAAUUUAAAAAAAAACUUAUAUAAAAGGAAUAAGGAUGAAAUAAGAAAUUCAAAGAAUGAGGACUGAAAUUGAAAAACAAUAAACAAAGAGGACAAUUGUGUAUUUUAGUUGUCAGGAGAGAGAAAAGAAAGAAAAAAUAAAAACAAUCAACCACUGGUGGCAACCCAACAUCAUAAGCCCACACACGCCGUGCCAUAUGGAAGAAGACACGAUUACGUAUCUAAAGAGACGACUAAAGGCUAGAUUUGGCCACCGGGUGGUAUCACACGCGCCACCCACUGGCUAGCAUGUGUGAAACAUACGCCAACAAUUUUUUUACUUAAAAAUUUUAAACAAAAUGUGAAAAUACCAAAAAUACCCCCAUGACCCUCUUAAUGACACAAAAUAUCCAUGUAAAAAUACCAAAAUACCCCCAAAUAUAAAGCUUUUUUUUUUUUUUUUUUGUCUUUUCUAAGGUUAAAAACUUUCUUUUACUAUAUAUGAAAAGUGGAAAAAUCUGAAACACCCUUGCCCAAUAACUCAACAUUUUUUUAAUCUUACGGGCAAAUAAGUAUUUUUACUAUUACGAAGCAUGUGAAAAGUAAAGAAAGCCCUUGUUGAUUCUAGGGGUAAAAGAGUAUUUUUACUGUGUUAAAAAAUUUAAAAUGAUGCACACCCCUAAACAAUCUUUUAAUGACCACUGAGUUAGAGAAAAGAAAAGAAAAAAAAUCCUCCAGUUUGAAAGUUCAAAUUUUUGACACUCAAUGGUAAAAGGGUAAUUUCAUCAUGGCAAUCCACAAUAAUCUACAUGUAGAACUAUGGGUGUUCAAAAAAACCGACCAACCGAUUAAAUCGAGAAAAAAUUAACCGAAAAAACCGAUUAAAAUUUUUUAAAAAACCACCCAGUCCGGUUCGGUUCCGGUUUAAAAAAGCUUAAACCGAUUGAACCGGACCAAACCGAACCGGUUUAAUUGAAUCUAAAAUAAAAUAUAAAAAGAAACAUCAUAAACUUAAAUAAUAAAUACCCUAACCCUACAAAACUUUUCCAACCCGCUGCCCCCCUCCAAAACCUUUCCACCCCCUUCCCUUUUCUCCAAAACCUUUCCAGCCCACUCAAAAAUGCUCAAUGGUGUCCUGCAUCAUCGAUCACAACACUAUGCAUUCCAUAAGUAACCCACGUGGUAGUGGGAGUGAGUAUACAAUAUACAUGGUGGGAUGCAAUCCAUCCAUCUGAGACUUCAAUAUCAUAACUGCAACCGGAUCAUAUAAUUAUCAAUCUCCCUCCCCACUCUCCCUCCCUCCCAAAACCUUCUGCUCACCCUCCCCCUUCCCCCUUCCCUUUCCAGCAACCCCAUCCCUCCCUCCCCGCUCUCUCUCCCCCCUUCCCCUUUUCCAGUGCCCCUACCCCUCCCUCUCUCCCUCUCCUCUGUGCACAAGGCUUAAAGCAACUCAUUUUCUCUUAUAUUGUUGCCUUUAUACUCUCUACUUUACAGGAUGCUAUUGAAAUCUUUGUUAACAUGUAGUAGUGCUAGUAUGGAUAGAUCCAGUGAUUUUGAUUCAAUUAAGGGAGAUCUUUCAGAUCUCAACCGAAGAGCUUGGAUUCAAAGUUUUCAACAAGGAUUUUUUUGAAUAUGAUUCGGCCAAGUUUGUCCAGUGAUUGUGAUUCAGUCAAGUUUUUAUUUAUUUAUUUAGUUUCGGUUUUUCUGGUUUCUAAGGCUAAAAAACCGACCCGAACCGAACAAAAUCGGUUCGGUUUGAACCGGUUCUUGGUUCGGUUUAUAUUAACAAGAAAUGGUAUUUUCCGGUUCGGUUGAAUUUUUAUGUUAAAACCGGACCGAACCGGACCGUGAACACCCCUAUGUAGAACUACAGUGAAACCCCCACGCGUUUUAGCUUUUCGUAAAAUAAUGAGGACUGAAAUGAAAACAAAACAUAUGAGAAAUUGUAAUUGAAGGAUAAAAUUGAAAAUAAAACAACUUUUAUAAAAAGGAAUAAGGAUGAAAUAAGAAAUUCAAAAAAUAAGAAUUGAAAUUGGAAAACAACAAACAAAGAAGAUAAUUAUGUAAUUUAGUUGGCAGGAGAGAGAAAAAAAAGAAAAAAUAAAAACAAUCGAUCACUGGUAGCAAUCCAACCACUAUAAGCCAACACGCGCCACACUGUGUAGAAGACACUACUAUAUGUCGAGGGAGAUGACGGUUGGCCAAAUUUAGCCACCGGGUGGUGUCAGACACGCCACCCACUCGAUGACGCAUGUGGAACAAAAACCGAUGACUUUUCAAUUAAAAAAUAUAAAAAAACAUGAAAAAACCAAAACGCCCCCAUGACCCUCUUAAUUACAUAAAAUACCCACGUGAAAAUACCCCUAAAUGAAAUUUUUUUUUUUUUUUAUCUUUUCUAAGAUUAAAAACAUUCUUUUACUGCACAUGAAAAGUGAAAAAACCUGAAACACAGGCCUAGCAGCUCAAUAUUUUUUUGAUGUUAAAGGUAAAGAAGUAUUUUUACUGCUAUUAAAUAUGUGAAAAGUCAAGAAAGACUUUGAUCAACAGUUUUAAAUCUUGCUAACUUUAAAGAUAAAAAAGUAUUUUUAUUGUGAAAAACAUUAUUUUACUAUAUAUGUAAAGUGAAAAAACCCUUUCCUAGCAGCUUAAUAUCUUUUUAUUUUAAGGACAAAGAAAUAUUUUUACUUUUAUGAAGCAUAUGGAUAGUCAACAAAGUCCUUCGUCAAUAAUUCUAAAUCUCGUUAAUUUUAGAUAAAAGAAUAUUUUUAUUGCCUCACAAAAUUUAAAAUGAUACCUACUUCCAAACAAGAAAAAACCACAGCUAAAAGACUUAAAUUUUCUCUAUUCAAUGAUAAAAAAAUAAUUUUACUGUAGUAAUCCAAUUUAUAUCGAGGGGUAAAAUGUAACCUCAUGCACUUUAGCUUUUCUUUUAAUAUCAUUUCAAAUCAAGAGAAACUUUCUAGUAAAGAUAGACUAUGUAAUUUGCAUCUAAGAAAAGGCAAGAAUAAGGAAGGAAAGAGAGGCUCGGAGUACUUUUUGGCAGCAUUUCAAUUUCAUUAAAAAAGAGAGAAGAAAAACCAAAAAUUGAUUAAACACACACUCGAAUCUUUAGUUGUUUCUUCGAUCAAAUACACACUGAACACCCAAACCCUUUAUCAGUUACCCCUUCUACAUCUGCAAAAUCCCAAACCCUAGCAAUUUCCUUCUCUCUCUGUGCAAUCUCCACUCUUCCAAUCUCAAUCUGCUUUAUCUGUUCUCUCUUCUGUAUUGAUAGUUCUGUGUAUACCGAAUUUGUGCAAGUUCUUGUUGGUUUUAGAUAACGACGAUGACCGACGGAAAGCUGAAUCUCCCCGACGAUCUCCUCCUCCUCUCUCCCAGGUCAACCGAUGAACGCCUCUCCUCCUUCAAAGGUUCUGAUUUCGAUUUUCCAUUCUUUUUCUUAUUCAAUCGAUCUUUCUUAAUCUUUAUUGCUAUGUAUACUUCCGUUUCUGUUCCUACUUUUAGGGUUUUGACUAUUUUUUUAUAUUUUUUCUCCUUGAUACUUUAUAUUUUUCCAAUUGAAUGACUUUGAUGUUAAUUUAUUUUUCUGUAUAUUUUUCAUGCCGAAUGGUGAUAGAUUACUGAGAUUAAUAGCUGUUGUUAUAUUUGGAUUCAUUGAUUUUGAAUGUAUGGAACUAAUGCUAUUUAUGAAUUGUCAUUUUUCUUGGAAAUGGUAGAUCGAGGAGGAAUUGGUGAGGACAAGGCUCUGUUGAGUUUGCCUGAUGACUCAAAAGGUAUCCCGGGAAUACUUAUUUGCAGAUUUCAGUCUUGAAUUUAUUGGCCUUUUUUAUUCUAAAAUAUAUAUUGAUUGUUCUUGCUUUACAGAUCAAGUGGCUGCAGACAACACUAUACCUCUUUCUCCACAAUGGCUUUAUGCUAAACCGGUGGAUGCUAAGUCAUUGACUACUGGGGCAUCAGGGGUAUGUGAUUUCACUUGUCUAAAGUUGGACAUGCUUAUUGACUGGUUGGUUUUUGGUUAUCUAUAUGAGGUGGCAUGCUUUUUAUUUAUUUAUCAUGUACUAUAUACUCCUUUUGUUAAUUCCUGAUAAUUUAUGUCAUUUAGUGUGAUUGUAUGUUCUGGUGUUUAUAAACAUGUACCUUAGCUGGGGCCCUUGAGAAAUUAUAAAUUAGGAUAGCUGUGUGCAGGAUUUAGAGAUGCAUUUUAUUGGAUUUUAUAAUUUAAAUGGUUUUUAACCAGAAUUUAUACUUAUGAAGGUGUUGAAAUACUUUUAAUUUUGGUUGCAACUCUGCUCUGCAAUUAUCAAAUAAUCAAACCUAAGGAGAUUUAAUUGUAGCAUCUUGACCUCUUUAUAGGGGAAAGCCCUUUUUCUCAUCUGUCUGCAAGAAUGCAGUCUUGUUGCUUUUAUGUGAGUACCAUCUCGCUUAGUUCUGUCACAGGGUGAACUUAUAUUUUACUUGAUGUUUUAUUACUGCUAAACUUAUCCUUUUUUCAGUUUUUAUUUUUGUGUGUACGCGUGUAUUUCCAAUUUAACCCUUAUGCCUGAAAAUAACAGGAAACACGUGCUUCAAAUUCUUUGUCCCAUGGAAACUCCAUUGAUAACAAUUUGAAAGACAAUUGGCGUUUAGAUGGAUCCCAAGACAAGAAAGAUCGGAGGAAAAUUGCUCCUGAUGUUGAAAGCAGCCGCCGUUGGCGUGAGGAGGAGAGGGAUACAGGUUUACUUGGUAGAAAAGAUCGCAGAAAAGAAGACAAUCGUGCUGAUUCUGUUUCAGCUAGAGAUAUAUCUGAGACUAGAACUUUGUCUUCUUCAGAUCGUUGGCAUGACGGCAAUAGCCGCAAUUCUGCGCAUGAAUCCCGAAGAGACAGCAAGUGGUCAUCUAGGUGGGGUCCUGAAGAUAAAGAGAAGGAUUCUCGAACAGAUAAGAGGGCAGAUGUUGAGAAGGAUGAUGCUCACAGUGACAAACAAAAUUUUGUUACUGCUAGCCACCCAAAUUCUGAGCCAACUUCUGAGCGUGAGAACGAUUCUCGUGAUAAGUGGAGGCCAACUUCUGAGCGCGAGAACGAUUCUCGUGAUAAGUGGAGGCCUCGCUAUCGUAAGGAUAUUCAUUCUAGUGGACCUGCUGCAUACAGGAGUGCACCUGGAUUUGGGUUAGAUAGAGGACGUCUGGAGAGCCCGAAUGUGCCGUUUGCUGCCGGAAGAGGAAGGUCCAACAAUAGUGGGAACUUACAAAUUGGCAGAUAUCUUACUGCUUCUUCUAUUGGGUCUAUUCCUCUGGAUAAGAAUCAUGCAUUCUGCUAUCCAAGGGGAAAACUUCUUGACAUUUACCGUAAGCACAAGACUCUUACAAGUUUUGAUACCAUACCAGAAGGGAUCGAGCUUGUGUCUCCACUAACACAGGAAAUUUCUAUUAAGCCAUUGGCAUUUGUUGCACCUGAUGCAGAGGAAGAGGUAUAUGAGUUCGAUAAUGUCAUGUUAAAGGUAUGUCUUACAGCUGUUGUCACUGCCUUAAAUUGGAUCAUCUGAUUCUUGCAGGCUGUCCUUGGAGAUAUGUGGCAGGGAAAAAUUACAAGCAGUGGAGCACUGAACAACUCAUUUAGAGAAAAGAACGAUUCAUCAAGUAAUACCACUGCAGGUGAUCAGUGUCACAUCUUCAGUUGACUUUGGCACAUCUCACCAUCUAUUCUCUCUAACUCUCUUUUUUUAUUCAGGCUUUGGCGAGGGGACUUUAGGUGAGGGGAAUGAGAGUUUCUCUGUUAAGACUGAAGAAAUUGCACACUCUUUUGGAAAAAUUACUGGUAAUGCUUCUGGUCAAGGUACUGUCGCUGAGACAUUAGAUACAUCAAUGGCUGAGGGUAAGUAAUCCUAGAAUCAAUUUUUUGACUAUUUUUAAUUCACAGAGUUAAUACUAUUCCUUCUGUUAUGUAUUUCAGAAAAGGAUACGCAUAAAGAUGAUAAACAGAAGCGUACAACAACAAUUGCCAGAGCAUUGAUGGAUGGCUUUGCGCCUGCAGAUUUCAAGAAAGAUGAUCCCAGCAGUUUUGGGGAGAGUGGUCUGAGUGACAACAUUAUGGAGUUAAAAGCUUUUGAAAGGCAGCCAGUGGAAGAUGUGGUUUUUCAGAAUAACCUUAAGUUGGAGGAUAUUGAGCCAGCUACUUCUUUUGAGAUGGAUAACCAGCUUCCUGAUGAUUCAAGUUCUCUAUUUGAUUUUUCUUCUGCACAGAAAAAUCCAAGCAGCCAUCAGUUUUCCUUGAAUAGAAAUAGUGAGGUACAUCAAUUCAGGGGGGCUAUCACACCUGAGGAACUAUCAUUGUGCUAUCUUGAUCCUCAAGGGGCAAUUCAGGGACCAUACCUUGGUAUUGAUAUUAUUGCAUGGUUUGAGCAAGGAUAUUUUGGAACUGACCUACCAGUUCGUUUGUCAGAUGCUCCAGAUGGAUCACCCUUCCAUGAGCUUGGUGAUAUUAUGCCUCACCUAAAACUUAAACCUGGGUGUGCUUCAAGUACUAGUCCAUCUGCUAAGUUACAGCUAUCUGAUGCUGUUGGAGAAAGCUUGGAAGGGAGCACAGUGACUCCUGCUUCCCUUGAAUUUAAGGCUUCUGCUGUCAGGGAAGACCAACAGAGGGCUUCAUCUGGAUUUGAGGCCAUCUCCAAUGUUAGUGGUCAGUCAAGAGUUCCUGAUCAUGGUUUUCUCAGUGGGAUGGAGUAUUCUGAUGAUCAAAGAUUUCAAAAUGUUGUUACUCCGGAUGAAGGUAAGUUGUGUAUAAUGAUUCUGCAUUUCAUGUCACUGUAUCUGUUCAUUGUGCUCAUUUAGUUGCUCUGAUCUUUGUUGGAUACAGAAAUUAUCUUUCCUGGAAGGCCUGGAAGUAGUGGCAACCCUUUGAUGGGAGAUGUUGCAGACUUUCAGCGAUUUGCUCCUAAUGCUUCUACCAACCCUGCUAUCUUAAAUGAAUUUUCAGAAACUGGCAUGCAUACUCAUCAGGAUGAAAUAGUUCAUCCAUUUGGCUUGUCGAUGUCUGAGCUUAGAAGCAACUCUAAUCUGAGGCGUGCUCAAUCAUCCAACAUGGCUUCAAGCAUGGGUGAUGAAUUUCCAGCACAGGUUCAUGCUAUGGACCCUUAUACAGAGCAUGAUGCUGCUCUUGCCAGUCACAGGACCUUUGAUGCAGUUUUUGAUCAAUCCCAUUAUGCAGAGACAUGGCCUGAAGAUUAUAGGAAAAAGCCACUCACUAAUCCCCACAUUGAUCUAGGUUCUGCAGAUGCUCGACACUUAUUUCACAGGCAGCCAGAGUUCAAUGAUUUUGACCAGCAGCAUCUCAUGUUGCAGAAGAUGCAAAAAGAAUGUCAACAACAGAAUCAUUUAUCUCAUCCCUUCUCACAUACUAUGGAGCUGGGUUUUGAGCAAAUCCCUUCUAAUCUUAUUGAACUGCAAUUUCAACAUCAGCAGCAGCUGGAGCUUCAACAGCGGCAGCAGAUGGAGCUUCAACAGCGGCAGAAGCUGGAGCUUCAACAGAGGCAGCAGCUGGAGCUUCAACAGCGGCGGCAGAUUGAGCUUCAACAGCGGCGGCAGGUGGAACUUCAGCGGCGGCAAUUGGAGCAUCAGCAACAGCAGCGACAGUUUGAGCUUCAGCAACAGCAUCAUUUACUGCACCAACAGCAACAACAGCUUCGUCAGUACCAAAUGAAACUGCAGCAGCAGCAGGUUCUGGAACAGUUGCUGCAGCAUCAGAUGCCUGAUCUUGGAUAUGGUCAGGGAAAGGGAGAUCCAUUGAGAGAAAACUUGCUUGAGCAGAUUCAAUUUAGGACACGACUGGCGGCCGAACUGCAGCUGAAUUCACAUAAUCCAAGGCACCUCGAUCUAUCAUUGGAGCAGAUAAUUCGAGCUAAGAUUGGCCAGAAUAAUCUUCAAGAACCCCAGACUGAUAUCUUGGACCACUUAUCACAGGUGAAGCAUGGUAAUAUACUCCCGUCAGACCUGCAGUUCCAUCUUCAGCAAGAACAGAUGCAGGCGCAAGAGUUAUCUUUGGCAAGGCAGCAGUUAGGAAUGGAUGGUGAAAGCCAAGUUGGUUGG